rnacentral:rRNA from 1 species
UGGGGAAUAUUGGACAAUGGGCGAAAGCCUGAUCCAGCCAUGCCGCGUGUGUGAAGAAGGUCUUCGGAUUGUAAAGCACUUUAAGUUGGGAGGAAGGGCAGUAAGUUAAUACCUUGCUGUUUUGACGUUACCAACAGAAUAAGCACCGGCUAACUUCGU